UACGAAGGGGGCUAGCGUUGUUCGGAAUCACUGGGCGUAAAGGGCGCGUAGGCGGCCGAUCAAGUCGGGGGUGAAAUCCUGGAGCUCAACUCCAGAACUGCCUUUGAUACUGGCGAUCUUGAGUCCGGGAGAGGUGAGUGGAACUGCGAGUGUAGAGGUGAAAUUCGUAGAUAUUCGCAAGAACACCAGUGGCGAAGGCGGCUCACUGGCCCGGUACUGACGCUGAGGUGACGAAGCGUGGGGAGCAAACAGG
rnacentral:rRNA from 1 species